AAUGAGUCCUUGCAAAAUCUGGAGGAGAGGGGUUGUGAUGGAAGAGAAAGGGAAGGAAAGGCUCUGCUGCUUUUCUUCUGCUGCUUUGAGCAUCGUUACCGUGUGUGUCCAGUCUGAGCAGAAGCAGCAGGAAAGGAAAAGAAGAGGGGCAGAGGAAGAGGAAAAACCCAACCUCGUUCAGCAUGUUCUGCAAAUGCAGCUUCUUCUUCCGCAUGAGCAAACAGACCACGAUGGACUCCUGGGUGAUGGGUAGAGAAGUUCAGAAAGCUGCCAGGGAGCACCUAAUCCACGAGUCGGGACUGCUGAUGUUUGCUUCAGCCUGGUAUCCCAUGGUAGAGGCAUAAGGAUUAAGCAGGCUUUGGAAGGGGAGCUUGUCUUCAUAUCGGGAUGGGCAUUUCUUUGGACACACGGUCUUUGGGGGUACCCAGCGAGGUGGUGAAGUCACUGUCCCUGGAGAUGUUCAAGAACAGAGAUGUGGCACUUGGGAACAUGUGCCUGGAAAGUACACAAGCAUUGCCAACAAGAAAUAAGUGAUGCAGGGGUCGCACAGAUGAGAAAGCGGGGAGUAAUAUGAUUAAUAGAGAACUGGCAAGGAAGAUGUGCUUUCUAACAGCUCACCAAGAAAAGGAGGAGAGUCCCAGCACGGGGAGCUUGCAUUUUCCAGUAGGCACAACUCCAGAAGACAUGCUGCUGAGGACAGCCCCAUCCUGCAGACCCACAGCAAUGGGCAGGACGGAGGCUGCAGCUCGUCUGCCACUUGCUGUCUGCAAUCUCUCCCAUUUUCACACAUACUCCAGACUUGCAAUACUGGCUCUGAAAGCAAUAAGAAGUUGCAAGAUUAAUUGCUUUGAAAGCACGAAAGGAACAGAAAAUGCCUGAAGGCACUGGGACAGAUAAUAUGUUGUAUUCAUAAAGGUUUUAAUAAUUUAUUACCAGCAGCUGUAUAAAGUUAUUCUGUCCCCAUCCACUACUCCUCUCCAAGGACGGCUGGAGGCAGCUUGAUUUCUGCUCAAGGAGUGCAAAUCAAAGGACUCCUUGAGUCCUU
ensembl:lncRNA